rnacentral:rRNA from 1 species
UACGGAGGGUGCAAGCGUUAAUCGGAAUUACUGGGCGUAAAGCGUGCGUAGGCGGUUUGUUAAGUCUGCUGUGAAAUCCCCGAGCUCAACUUGGGAAUUGCAGUGGAUACUGGCAAGCUGGAGUACGGUAGAGGAAGGUGGAAUUCCCGGUGUAGCAGUGAAAUGCGUAGAGAUCGGGAGGAACACCAGUGGCGAAGGCGGCCUUCUGGACCAGUACUGACGCUCAUGCGCGAAAGCGUGGGGAGCAAACAGG